AUGAACGCUGGCGGCGUGCCUAAUACAUGCAAGUCGAGCGAACGGACGAGAAGCUUGCUUCUCUGAUGUUAGCGGCGGACGGGUGAGUAACACGUGGAUAACCUACCUAUAAGACUGGGAUAACUUCGGGAAACCGGAGCUAAUACCGGAUAAUAUUUUGAACCGCAUGGUUCAAAAGUGAAAGACGGUCUUGCUGUCACUUAUAGAUGUAUCCGCGCUGCAUUAGCUAGUUGGUAAGGUAACGGCUUACCAAGGCAACGAUGCAUAGCCGACCUGAGAGGGUGAUCGGCCACACUGGAACUGAGACACGGUCCAGACUCCUACGGGAGGCAGCAGUAGGGAAUCUUCCGCAAUGGGCGAAAGCCUGACGGAGCAACGCCGCGUGAGUGAUGAAGGUCUUCGGAUCGUAAAACUCUGUUAUUAGGGAAGAACAUAUGUGUAAGUAACUGUGCACAUCUUGACGGUACCUAAUCAGAAAGCCACGGCUAACUACGUG
rnacentral:rRNA from 1 species